UACGUAGGUGGCAAGCGUUGUCCGGAUUUACUGGGCGUAAAGGGCGUGCAGGCGGUCUGUUAAGUCUAGGGUGAAAGCUCCCGGCUCAACUGGGAGAGGUCCUUGGAUACUGGCGGACUUGAGGGAGGUAGAGGAAAGUGGAAUUCCCGGUGUAGUGGUGAUAUGCGUAGAUAUAGGAAGGAACACCAGUGGCGAAGGCGACCACCUGGGCUCAUACUGACACUGAGGUGCGAAAGCGUGGGGAGCAAACAGG
rnacentral:rRNA from 1 species